rnacentral:rRNA from 1 species
UGGGGAAUAUUGCACAAUGGGCGCAAGCCUGAUGCAGCCAUGCCGCGUGUGUGAAGAAGGCUCUCGGGUUGUAAAGCACUUUCAGCGGGGAGGAAGGCGUUAAGGUUAAUAACCUUGGCGAUUGACGUUACCCGCAGAAGAAGCACCGGCUAACUCCGUGCCAGCAGCCGCGGUAAUACGGAGGGUGCAAGCGUUAAUCGGAAUUACUGGGCGUAAAGCGCACGCAGGCGGUCUGUCAAGUCGGAUGUGAAAUCCCCGGGCUCAACCUGGGAACUGCAUUCGAAACUGGCAGGCUAGAGUCUUGUAGAGGGGGGUAGAAUUCCAGGUGUAGCGGUGAAAUGCGUAGAGAUCUGGAGGAGUACCGGUGGCGAAGGCGGCCCCCUGGACAAAGACUGACGCUCAGGUGCGAAAGCGUGGGGAGCAAACAGG